rnacentral:lncRNA from 1 species
AUGGGGGGGAAGAAGAUGCACACGCUAUUCUCUGAUGGAAGCCAACAUGCAGAUCUCUUUUUCUACAUGCCCUACUUAGUCCCAUUGCUGAAGGAUGAAUUUGCAGAGUCAGAGCUUCUCAGCUGUUGGGCACAUGGUGUCCUUGCCUGCACAGGUGAGAACAGUGGAUACCACUGGAGAAUCCCUCACAGCCUGUCCAGGCAGCACAAGGACUGCCACAGGCAGUGACCCCGCUCACUAAGCAGGUAGGAGCCAGCCAGUUGCCAAGUGGUGCACACGGUGUAGCUGUGAUCCAACCCACUCUAUGCCUUACACACCUGCCUCAAAGCUACACACUAAAGCCCCUUUCCUUGCUCUGGACUUGAAGGAUUAAAACAAGAUUCCUUUCUUGAAGGUAAAGGAGGACUUCAUACCUUUAUGCCAGGUUUUUCAUACCUCUCAUCUGGUAGCCUCGUAACUCAAACCUUGCCAAUAAGGAGGAAAGUUAGGUUUCAGUCUUUCUUCAGCAUGUUCUCUCCAGUGGAAGAAGCUAAAUUAACAGACAGGAUGGAAGAAUGAUGAGAGAAUGGAGAGAAUUAGCAAGUGGUAACAUAAUUCUGCAGCUUGUUUUGAUAACUUGGCUUUUAAAGGUGUAUGGUAAAGUUCUCCUUCAGCUCUUACAUUAUCAGUAAUCAUUAUUUUUUAGAUGAAUAUUGGAAUAAGAAGUUAGCUCAGAUCUUCCAACUGACACUGUAU